UUGAAAGGGAAACGAUUGAAGUCAGUCGUACCGACGGAGGAUCAACCUUUGAAAGCGGGUCGAGGUAUUCGAGGAGUUUAAAAGCCCUCUUGCGCUCACGUACUUCGUUUUUUUUGGUGCACUUCUUCGUAUGGUAGGUUAACAUCAAUUUUGGACGUUACAAAAUGAUCGGGGGAAUGUAGCUUCGAUUUUUUCGAAGUGUUAUAGACCUCGGUAGAUGUGACGACCGGGAUUGAGGAUUGCAACGAAUGCUUUCGGGCUAUCCGUCUGACCUCUGGUGGUUGCUUUAGGGUCGAAAGCGUGCUUACGACUUUAAAGUUGGCUAUCAAAAGGCUAGAACGUGAUUAAAUUCGUUAAGGAUGUUGACGUA
rnacentral:rRNA from 1 species